rnacentral:rRNA from 1 species
UACGGAGGGUGCAAGCGUUAUCCGGAUUCACUGGGUUUAAAGGGUGCGUAGGUGGGCAGUUAAGUCAGUGGUGAAAUCCCCGGGCUCAACCCGGAAACUGCCAUUGAUACUAUCUGUCUUGAAUAUCGUGGAGGUAAGCGGAAUAUGUCAUGUAGCGGUGAAAUGCUUAGAUAUGACAUAGAACACCAAUUGCGAAGGCAGCUUACUACCCGAAUAUUGACACUGAGGCACGAAAGCGUGGGGAUCAAACAGG